rnacentral:rRNA from 1 species
UUCCGGUUGAUCCUGCCGGACCUGACUGCUAUCGGAUUGAUACUAAGCCAUGCGAGUCAUUGUAGUAAUACAAGGCAGACGGCUCAGUAACGCGUAGUCAACCUAACCUAUGGACGGGAAUAACCUCGGGAAACUGAGUAUAAUGCCCGAUAGAACAUUAUGCCUGGAAUGGUUUAUGUUCCAAAUGAUUUAUCGCCGUAGGAUGGGACUGCGGCCUAUCAGUUUGUUGGUGAGGUAAUGGCCCACCAAGACUAUUACAGGUACGGGCUCUGAGAGGAGUAGCCCGGAGAUGGGUACUGAGACACGGACCCAGGCCCUAUAGGGCGCAGCAGGCGAGAAAACUUUGCAAUGUGCGAAAGCACGACAAGGUUAGUCCGAGUGGUUUCUGCUAAAGAAACCUUUUGUUAGUCCUAGAAACACUAACGAAUAAGGGGUGGGCAAGUUGUCAGCCGCCGCGGUAAAACCAGCACCUCAAGUGGUCAGGAUGAUUAUUGGGCCUAAAGCAUCCGUAGCCUGCUUUGUCAGUUUUCGGUUAAAUCCAUACGCUCAACGUAUGGGCUGCCGGAAAUACUGCAAAACUAGGGAGUGGGAGAGGUAGACGGUACUCGGGAGGAAGGGGUAAAAUCCUUUGAUCUCUCGAUGACCACCUGUGGCGAAGGCGGUCUACCAGAACACGUCCGACGGUGAGGGAUGAAAGCUGGGGGAGCAAACCGGAUUAGAUACCCGGGUAGUCCCAGCUGUAAACUAUGCAAACUCAGUGAUGCAUUGGCUUGAUGCCAAUGCAGUGUUGCAGGGAAGCCGUUAAGUUUGCCGCCUGGGAAGUACGUACGCAAGUAUGAAACUUAAAGGAAUUGGCGGGGGAGCAC